GACGGAGGGGGCAAGCGUUGUCCGGACUCACUGGGCGUAAAGGGUGCGUAGGCGGUCUUGUGCGUCGGCGCUGAAAUCACACGGCUCAACCGUGUGGCGCGUGCCGAUACGACGAGACUUGAGGCUCUGAGAGGGUGGCGGAACUCCUGGUGUAGUGGUGAAAUGCGCAGAUAUCAGGAAGAACACCAAUGGCGAAAGCAGCUUUCUGGGACGGUACUGACGCUGAGACGCGAAAGCGUGGGGAGCGAACAGG
rnacentral:rRNA from 1 species